AUGCUGCCGGCUGGCGUCAAGUUCGACCCCACGGAUCAAGAGCUGAUUGAGCACCUUGAUGCCAAAGUGAGUGCUGACAGCGCGAGAUCUCACCCUCUCAUCGAUUUGUUCAUACCAACCAUCGACAGCGAGCACGGCAUAUGCUACACCCAUCCUGAGAAACUUCAAGGUAUCACACUGAGUGGCCUAAGCAAGCAUUUCUUCCAGCGCAAUUCCAGGGCGUUCAAAAGGGGCACGUGGACACAUCGCAAGAUACAGCCGGAGUGCGGCAUGCACGCGAUGUGGCACAAGACCGGUAAUACCUUGUUGGUGAUGGUCAAUGGCCGGCAGACGGGCAGCAAAAAGGUUCUGGUGCUGCACACCAACAAGAACUUCGACCAGCAGAGGACCAACUGGGUGAUGCAUCAGUACCACGUCGGGGACCUAGAGCAAGAGAAGGAGCGGGAGCUGGUCCUCUGCAAGAUUUUCUACUAG
rnacentral:rRNA from 1 species